rnacentral:rRNA from 1 species
GACGAACGCUGGCGGCGUGCUUAACACAUGCAAGUCGAACGGAAAGGCCUCUUUCGGGGGGUACUCGAGUGGCGAACGGGUGAGUAACACGUGAGUAACCUGCCCUUGACUUUGGGAUAACUUCAGGAAACUGGGGCUAAUACCGGAUAGGAGCUCCUGCUGCAUGGUGGGGGUUGGAAAGUUUCGGCGGUUGGGGAUGGACUCGCGGCUUAUCAGCUUGUUGGUGGGGUAGUGGCUUACCAAGGCUUUGACGGGUAGCCGGCCUGAGAGGGUGACAGGCCACAUUGGGACUGAGAGACGGCCCAGACUCCUACGGGAGGCAGCAGUGGGGAAUAUUGCACAAUGGGUGGAAGCCUGAUGCAGCAGCGCCGUGUGCGGGAUGACGGCCUUCGGGUUGUAAACCGCUUUCGCUCAUGACGAAGCUUUGUGUGACGGUAGUGGGUAAAGAAGCACCGGCUAACUACGUG